UGAUUGUUAUCGAAACGUUGCAUACUUCAAGACAGUUAUAAAGUCGAGACAAAGCAAGGCAAUCGUUAAUUUCAGUUACCAUACUUUAAUUUCUGUUAAAGUGUCGAAUAAAAGAAAGAGAACUAUUAAUAUUGAUCUGAAGGUACCUGGUUUUCAUAGAUUAUGAGGUAAAGGAGUUUCUUUGGCGGAAAUAUCAAAGGAUUCGACUCGUGAUUUCGAAAGAUAGCUAUUUUUAAAGAAGGUUAAGUCACGUGGGUCGAGACGGUGGGAAACGCAUCGAUUGACCGAUCGGAGGGAAACGGCAAGCCAAACGAAAAGAAGCUCUCCUUCUUCUCCUCGCCAAUCGACGACGCCACAUCACUUUUGGACCACGCAGACACGACGGCGAAGGCCAGACUGCACCACCCUUGGUACCCGCUUCCCUCACGGAAUCGAUACGUCAAUCGUCCCUCCGAGAAAAGCACACCGAAGAGACGAAGGGAGAGGCUAGAAGAAAGAAGAAGAGAGGAGGGAGGGAAGGAGAAGAACUCGUGAACGAUACGCGUUAAAGCUUCGACUACACCCGUCGUUGGACCCGUUGGGGUUUUCGACCACCUCCUGGAGGAAGUGAAGCGUGAGGACCGACCGAUGCUUGGUUCCGAUGGAUCCGCUAACCGGAAAUGGGAAUUCGUUGUCUCUUUUUCUCGCUUUUAAGUUUUUGUUGUAAGAUACACCUUUCUUGGAAAGGAUAGGAAUAUGACGUUUUCUCUUUGAUUUCUCUUUGAUUACUUUUUACGUUUGUUUGUUGCGUGGAUCUGUCAUCUGGAAAUAAGAACUGCGUGUUUUCCUGUUCUUUUUUAAGUUUUUGUUAGGAUUAGGUUUUGAUAUUUUUCUUUGCGAUUGCGUUUGUUGUGUGUGUUUCUUUUUGUGGAUUUGUUAUCCGGAAAUGGGAACUCAUUUUUUUUUUUCGACUUUUUUUUGGUUUUGAUUUUCUUGGGAUAUAAGGAAGAGUGCAGAAUUAGGAUCCGAUAUUUUUCUUUGUGAUUGGGUUUGCUGUGUGUUUUCCUUGGAUCUCUGUAUCGUCCAGGAAAUAGGAAUUGUGCCUUUUUCUCGUUUUGGUAGUUUUCUUGGAGAUAGUACUAUUGGGAUUUGAUAUUUUUUUUUUUGAUUCUUUGUUAUUAAUAGUUUUGUAUAUUUCUGUGAAUUUAUCAUUUGAAAAUUGCAUUUUUUUGUCCUUACAAUUAUUUUUAUUGAUAUCUUUUGAAAUAUAAAUAUGUAGAAUGUGAGUCCAUUAUUGUAAUAUAGAUUCGUUUAUACAAUAUGUAAUUUCAAGGAUCUCUAACUACCGUAGAACCGAAUAAUAGUAUUUUAGAAAAUACAUAAUAUUAAAUUAGAUUUAGGACAAGAUUUAAUUAGCUAUUUACAUCCACGAUCUAUAAUCUAACCUAAAACACAGUAUUUUGAAAUAUAUGUAUAUCGCAAAUAAAUAGUUACACUUAAAUUUAUAAUAUAACCUAUAAUAUAAUCAAACCACGAUAUUUUAAAGUACACAUCGAGUGUAAAAGUAACCUCAAAAUGCAUUAAUGACUAUUAAACAAAUCGAUAAUCGUAAUUAUUUUCGCGGAAAUUCCGCGUUAUUUAUUUUUUAUGGAAAUAAAUCGCGCUUCGCUUUGUACGAAAAUUAAUGGUUAAACACAGACCACCGAUUAAUUAUCAUUGAAAUUCGGCCGUAACUGAAAUCGAUAUAGGAAUAAAAAGACCACUGUUGAAAGAAUGGAAGACUGUAAAGGAUAGCGAGUCGCGCAGCGUCGUUCAUUAAAACUUUAGCUCACAAGGUUUGGGACGUAACAGAAGGCAGAUGAGAACAAGUUUCGACAACGAUGCGCCAUGUUUAAUCCGCGAUUGGCGGGGUAAUUAAAACGGGGGAAGAAACGCGGUCGUCAUUGCCCAAUUCUUUAUUUAUUGCAAAUUGAUCCAAUCGAUCUUGUAUGUUUUUUAUUUCAAGUAAAUGCAAAUUCUAAAUGAUAAUAAAUUAAAUUCUUUUCUCUUUCAUUGU
rnacentral:lncRNA from 1 species